UACGUAGGGUGCAAGCGUUGUUCGGAAUUACUGGGCGUAAAGGGCUCGUAGGCGGCCAACUAAGUCAGACGUGAAAUCCCUCGGCUUAACCGGGGAACUGCAUCUGAUACUGGAUGGCUUGAAUUCGGGAGAGGGAUGCAGAAUUCCAGGUGUAGCGGUGAAAUGCGUAGAUAUCUGGAGGAAUACCGGUGGCGAAGGCGGCAUCCUGGACCGACAUUGACGCUGAGGAGCGAAAGCUAGGGGAGCAAACGGG
rnacentral:rRNA from 1 species